rnacentral:rRNA from 1 species
GACGAACGCUGGCGGCGUGCUUAACACAUGCAAGUCGAGCGAGGCCCCUCCUUCGGGAGGGUGUCCUAGCGGCGAACGGGUGAGUAACACGUGGGCAACCUGCCCUCAGCUCUGGGAUAACUCCGGGAAACCGGGGCUAAUACCGGAUACGACCUCCACGGGCAUCUGCGGAGGUGGAAAGUUUUUCGGCUGAGGAUGGGCCCGCGGCCUAUCAGCUAGUUGGUGGGGUAGUGGCCCACCAAGGCGACGACGGGUAGCCGGCCUGAGAGGGCGACCGGCCACACUGGGACUGAGACACGGCCCAGACUCCUACGGGAGGCAGCAGUGGGGAAUAUUGCGCAAUGGGCGAAAGCCGGACGCAGCGACGCCGCGUGAGGGACGAGGCCUUCGGGUUGUAAACCUCUUUCAGCAGGGACGAAGCGAAAGUGACGGUACCUGCAGAAGAAGCACCGGCCAACUACGUG